rnacentral:pre_miRNA from 1 species
AGUGUAAUUGCUAGAUCAUAUGGGAAGAACAUGUUCAGUUUUUUAAGAAAUAUCCAAACUUUCUUCCAAAGUAGCCACACCAAUUUUGGGCUCCCACCAGCAGU